CAUGACCAUCUCAGGGUGGUAUGUUCCAGAUCUCCUGUGGUCUCAGAAGCUAAGCAGGGUUGGACCUGGUUAGUAUUUGGAUGGGAGGCCACUUGGGACUACUAGGUUCUGUCUCGA
rnacentral:rRNA from 1 species